rnacentral:rRNA from 1 species
GUGUCAGCCGCCGCGGUAAGACGGAGGAUGCAAGCGUUAUCCGGAAUGAUUGGGCGUAAAGCGUCCGCAGGUGGCUCUUCAAGUCUGCUGUCAAAGAGCAAGGCUCAACCUUGUCAAGGCAGUGGAAACUGAAAAGCUAGAGUGUGGUAGGGGUAGAGGGAAUUCCCAGUGUAGCGGUGAAAUGCGUAGAGAUUGGGAAGAACACCGGUGGCGAAAGCGCUCUACUGGACCUGCACUGACACUGAGGGACGAAAGCUAGGGGAGCGAAUGGGAUUAGAAACCCUCGUAGUCC